rnacentral:rRNA from 1 species
GACGAACGCUGGCGGCGUGCUUAACACAUGCAAGUCGAACGAAGUGGCGAACGGGUGAGUAACGCGUAAUCAACCUGCCCUUCAGGGGGGGACAACAGUUGGAAACGACUGCUAAUACCGCAUACUGAAGGAGGGGAUUGCGUCUGAUUUGCUAGUUGGAGGGGUAACGGCCCAACAAGGCGAUGAUCAGUAGGCGGGCUGAGAGGAUGAACGGCCAAAAUGGGACUGAGAACCGGCCCAGACUCCUACGGGAGGCAGCAGGGGGGAAUCUUCCGAAAUGGACGAAAGUCUGACGGAGCAACGCCGCGUGAGUGAUGACGGCCUUCGGGUUGUAAAGCUCUGUUAAUCGGGACGCGGUACCGGAAUAGAAAGCCACGGCUAACUACGUGCCAGCAGCCGCGGUAAUUC